UACCAGCACCCCGAGUGGUCGGGACGAUUAUUGGGCCUAAAGCAUCCGUAGCCGGUUUUACAAGUCCUCCGUUAAAUCCAACUGCUUAACAGAUGGGCCGCGGAGGAUACUAUAAGACUAGGAGGCAGGAGAGGCAAGCGGUACUCAGUGGGUAGGGGUAAAAUCCGUUGAUCCAUUGAAGACCACCAGUGGCGAAGGCGGCUUGCCAGAAUGCGCUCGACGGUGAGGGAUGAAAGCUGGGGGAGCAAACCGGAUUAGAUACCCGGGUAGUCCCAGCUGUAAACGAUGCAGACUCGGUGAUGGACUAGCUUAAUGCUAGUCCAGUGCCGCAGGGAAGCCGUUAAGUCUGCCGCCUGGGUAGUACGGUCGCAAGACUGAAACUCAAAGGAAUUGACGG
rnacentral:rRNA from 1 species